UUAACCUCACAAACUCUAACCCUAAGCAGCACUUAAGAACCUCGUUUUCAAGCCUCCAUGACCAUUGUUUGGUGAUCAAGAGUUGUAAUUGCUUUGCUUUCUCGUUGGAUCACGGCGGAGAAGAGUUUAACGUCACGUCUUCACCAUUCAACACCGGUUUCAAUUAGUGGAGAAGAGGAGUAAGGAACAGUUUCAAGUGGCUUUUUGGGUGAUCCUUUUUCCGUUGGAUCUGAAGGAACCAGAACACGCUAUUGGUGUCGUUGGAUAGAUCUCGCUGCGACGAAGAAGUAGUAAUUGACGGUUCUUCAUUACAAGGUUGGACUUUUGGAGAGGAUAUUCCGGUUAUCUCUGAUCAGUUGAGGUCAAGUAGACGGUGUUUACUGAUAAACGAAGUGUCAGGGAAGACGCUGGAGCCUUGAAAGUCACCAGAAAAGUUUCAGAUUGUUUCAAGCCAUUUUAAGCAGUUCUCUUCCAGUUCUCAGUCCAUUCCAGAUUCAGCGGAGAAUUAUGUGCCGGCUACCAACGGUCAUUGAUUGUUCUCUAUGCCUCAGACUCUACACAUGGUCGAACACGGAGCUUCUUAGCCCGCUAUGAUUCAUACAAGAGGCAUGGUGACCAUCCAAACUCAUCAACUACUCUAACUAGAUAUACAAGUAAGGAGUCAUCUCUCAUAUAUUCAAGCUUUGGGAAACAAGCGUUAUAGCAAGAGACACCAACUGUGGUACGUAUAGUGCAAGGUACUAUUUUAUUUAUUUUGACUUCGGCAUUGCUUCGUGGCUUAAGUUUUAAACAUUAGUUCAUUAGUUAUUUUAUACAAAGUAAAAUGGUCUAAAAGCAAGCCUAUUACUGCGGUGGAUAGAACUUUCUCAUGUUGGAAAUGAUUUGUUGCGAAUCCAGUAGUGGGAGUUUUCCUUACCCAGAAUGUUGCAAAUCAUUCAUCAAGUUAAUGCAUUCAAGCAAUUUGUAAUAACUAGAGGAUAUGUGCAACAUGAAUAGUUUUCACAAUUAUUAAGUUCUUCACAUUUGUAGUUCUACAUAUAUGGAUCUUCUUGCUGAGUUUUCUAUCAACUUGAACUUCAACAAAUGAUCAUCUCUUGAAAAGUGGGAAGUUCUGUAACUCAUGAAAUAGUGAUGAAAUUAGGUUCGAAACAUGCAGUUUCAAAUCCAAUAAUUCGCAAUCUAACUUGUGUGAUCGUAAAGGAUAUUGAUGAUGAUGAGGACGACACUAAUGUUGUUUGUUGUCACUGUAAAACUAGUGCCAGUUUUAUAAGCUCUACAAAUCAAUCAACAAUGAUGCUGCUGGAUCCAUUUCACACAAAUUUGGUGAAUGAGCAAGUUGAUUCCCAAAUGGUAAAAGGCAAAUGCCUUAUAUCAAACAUGGACAAUCUUUCUAUGGGCACGUCUACUUCUUCUCAUUGUGAACUGAACCUAAAUGAAGUAGAAAAACUGUGAUACUGAUGCAUUCACAAACAAACUCUAUAAAGAAAGUCAAGUUUAACAUAUGUCUAGCCAUCAACAAGAACUGGAGGGUACUCUCCAAUACUUGUUGUUGGUGGGACAUAUGUUGAACUUGACUUUAUUCAAAGACUAUGUUUGUGAAUUUACCAACAUCACAGUUCUCUAUUUCAUGUGGUACUUCAUUUAGGUUCAGUUCACAAUGAGAAGAAGUAGACGUGCCCGCAGAACGAAUGUCCGUGUUUUAUAUAAGGCCUUUGUCUUUCACCAUUUGAGAAUCAACUUCCUCAUUCACCAACCUUGUUUGAAAUAGAUUCAACAUCAUUGUUGAUUGAUUUGUAGAGUUGAUGGAAUUGUCACUGCUUUUAGAGGAUUCCUGUCAACAAACAGCAUCAGUGCCGUUCUCAUCACCAUCAAUCUCCUCUAUGAUGGCACAAGUUGGAUUUCUAAUUCUUGGAUUUGCAUAUCUCGGAUCCAAUUUCAUCAUUGUUUCAUGAGUUACUGAACUUCCCCACUAUUCAAGAGAUGAUCUCUUGUUGAAGUUCGAGUUGAUAGCAAAUGUGAAGAACUUAAUAAUUUUGAAAACCAUUCAUGUUGCACAUUUCUUGUGUUUAUUACAAAUCACUUGAAUGCAUUACCUUGAUGAAUGAUUUGCUACAUUCUCGGUUAGGAAAAACUCCCACUACUGAAUCCACAACAGAUUCUUUCCAACGUGAGAAAGUUCAAUCCCAUGUAGUAAUAGGCUUGUUUUUAGAUCAUUUGACAUUGUAUACAUUAACUAAUGAACUAAGGUUUAAAACUCAAGACACGAAGAAGCAACGCCGAAGUCAAAAUCAAUAAAAUAGUACCUUGCACUAUACGCACUCUAUCACUCUAGCAAUGAACAAGUCAUCUCUCAUACAUAUUUAAUUGUGACUCUAGAAGUUAAAAUUUGUAAAGUUUUGUUUUUCUUUUGAAUUUAAAUAUUAAUAACUGAACCUUAAAGAUUUG